AACGAACGCUGGCGGCAGGCCUAACACAUGCAAGUCGAGCGAAGCCUUCGGGCUUAGCGGCGGACGGGUGAGUAACGCGUGGGAACGUGCCCUUUGGUACGGAGUAGCCCCGGGAAACUGGGAGUAAUACCGUAUGUGGUCGAGAGACGAAAGAUUUAUCGCCAAAGGAUCGGCCCGCGUUGGAUUAGGUAGUUGGUGGGGUAAUGGCCUACCAAGCCGACGAUCCAUAGCUGGUUUGAGAGGAUGAUCAGCCACACUGGGACUGAGACACGGCCCAGACUCCUACGGGAGGCAGCAGUGGGGAAUCUUAGACAAUGGGGGAAACCCUGAUCUAGCCAUGCCGCGUGAUCGAUGAAGGCCUUAGGGUUGUAAAGAUCUUUCAGUGGGGAAGAUAAUGACUGUACCCACAGAAGAAGCCCCGGCUAACUCCGUGCCAGCCGCCGCUGUAACAC
rnacentral:rRNA from 1 species